rnacentral:tRNA from 1 species
GAUUUCACGGCCCAAUGGAUAAGGUGCUGGUCUACAAAACCAGAGAUUCUGGGUUCGAUCUUUGUGGAGUCG